UCCCUGCUGGCGCAAUGGUAGCGCGUAAGACUUCUAUUAGGCUUAAGCCUAUGUGAUCUCAUCUUAAGGUUGUAGGUUCGACCCCUACGUAGGGAG
rfam:Botryotinia fuckeliana BcDW1 unplaced genomic scaffold Scaffold_35, whole genome shotgun sequence.